UGAAUACGAGACGCUACGGCGUCGAAGCAGUCUAUGUCAUACUUCCAAGAAAAGCUCGCAAUGUCAUAAACAAAUAAUGCCUGUACCAUAACCGACACAGGUGGGUAGGUAGAGUAUACUAAGGGGCGCGAGAUAACUCUCUCUAAGGAACUCGGCAAAAUGACUCCGUAACUUCGGGAGAAGGAGUGCCUUAUUUAUAAGGUUGCAAUAACAAGAUCCAAGCAACUGUUUAUCAAAAACACAGGUCUCCGCUAAGUCGUAAGACGAUGUAUGGGGGCUGACGCCUGCCCAGUGCCAGAAGGUUAAAGAAGUUGGUUAGCAUUCGCGAAGCUGAUAACUGAAGCCCUGGUAAACGGCGGCCGUAACGAUAACGGUCCUAAGGUAGCGAAAUUCCUUGUCGGGUAAGUUCCGACCCGCACGAAAGGCGUAAUGAUUUGGAUACUGUCUCGGAGAGGGGCUCGGUGAAAUAGACUUGUCUGUGAAGAUGCGGACUACCUGCACCUGGACAGAAAGACCCUAUGAAGCUUUACUGUAACUUGAAAUUGAAAUUGGACUUUAUUUGCGCAGCAUAGGUGGGAGGCGUUGAGAGUAUUCUUGCGGGAAUAUUGGAGCCAUCAGUGAGAUACCACUCUUGUAAUGUUAGAUUUCUAACUUUGGAUCAUUAUCUGGUCAAAGAACAGUUUCAGGCGGGCAGUUUGACUGGGGCGGUCGCCUCCCAAAUGGUAACGGAGGCGUACAAAGGUUUCCUCUGAACGGGUAGAAAUCGUAUCUAGAGUGUAAAGGCAUAAGGAAGCUUGACUGUGAGACCUACAAGUCGAGCAGGGACGAAAGUCGGUCUUAGUGAUCUGACGGUGCUGAGUGGAAAGGCCGUCACUCAACGGAUAAAAGUUACUCUAAGGAUAACAGGCUGAUCUCCCCCAAGAGUUCACAUCGACGGGGAGGUUUGGCACCUCGAUGUCGGCUCAUCGCAUCCUGGGGCGGUAGUACGUCCCAAGGGUUGGGCUGUUCGCCCAUGAAAGCGGUACGCGAGCUGGGUUCAGAACGUCGUGAGACAGUUCGGUCCAUAUCCGGUGUAGGCGUUAGAAUAUUGAGAGGAGCCUUCUUUAGUACGAGAGGACCGAGAAGGACAUACCUCUGGUGUACCAGUUAUCGUGCCAACGGUAAACGCUGGGUAGCUAUGUAUGGAGAGGAUAACCGCUGAAAGCAUCUAAGUGGGAAGCCCACCUCAAGAUAAGUAU
rnacentral:rRNA from 1 species